rnacentral:rRNA from 1 species
GACGUAGGGGGCGAGCGUUGUCCGGAUUUAUUGGGCGUAAAGAGCGCGUAGGCGGCCCGUUAAGUCGGAUGUGAAAACCCGUGGCUCAACCACGGGCCUGCAUCCGAUACUGGCGGGCUCGAGGCAGGCAGGGGAGAUCGGAAUUCCUGGUGUAGCGGUGAAAUGCGCAGAUAUCAGGAGGAACACCGGUGGCGAAGGCGGAUCUCUGGGCCUGUCCUGACGCUCAGGCGCGAAAGCUAGGGGAGCAAACAGGAUUAGAUACCCUGGUAGUCCUAGCCGUAAACGUUGGGUGCUAGGUGUGGGGCGGCGAUUGACCCGCUCUGUGCCGAAGCUAACGCAUUAAGCACCCCGCCUGGGGAGUACGGCCGCAAGGUUAAA